GACGAACGCUGGCGGCGUGCUUAACACAUGCAAGUCGAACGGAAAGGCCCUGCUUUUGUGGGGUGCUCGAGUGGCGAACGGGUGAGUAACACGUGAGUAACCUGCCCCUGACUUUGGGAUAACUUCAGGAAACUGGGGCUAAUACCGGAUAGGAGCUCCUGCUGCAUGGUGGGGGUUGGAAAGUUUCGGCGGUUGGGGAUGGACUCGCGGCUUAUCAGCUUGUUGGUGGGGUAGUGGCUUACCAAGGCUUUGACGGGUAGCCGGCCUGAGAGGGUGACCGGCCACAUUGGGACUGAGAUACGGCCCAGACUCCUACGGGAGGCAGCAGAGGGGAAUAUUGCACAAUGGGCGGAAGCCUGAUGCAGCAACGCCGCGUGCGGGAUGACGGCCUUCGGGUUGUAAACCGCUUUCGCCUGUGACGAAGCGUGAGUGACGGUAAUGGGUAAAGAAGCACCGGCUAACUACGUG
rnacentral:rRNA from 1 species